rnacentral:misc_RNA from 1 species
AAGUCGUAACAAGGUUUCCGUAGGUGAACCUGCGGAAGGAUCAUUAUCGAAUGAACAACGGGGAUCGGCUGUCGCUGGCUUCUUCACAGAGGCAUGUGCACGCCUUUCUCUGUUUCAUCCACACACACCUGUGAACUUGUGAGACGGAUAGUAGUCACUCUGGAUUUAUUUCUGGGGGGACGAGGUCCGUCUGUCAAUACAUAAACUCCAAUCAAUUAAAUCUGAAUGUAAUCCGAUGUAACACAUCUUUAAAACUAAGUUUCAACAACGGAUCUCUUGGCUCUC